UUCUGAGUGGCCAUGACAACAAAACCAAGUGACUGCGUCAAGAAAUAAGGGGCUGCGAGAGUAUCCGGCGGCGGCGCCCGACCGACCAUGCACACGGUGAGAUCCAGCGGCACGCCAUUCAACACGGAGCCAUGGGCUGGCACUCACCUGGACCCGGGGCGGGGGCCCAACUACAGGCCUCCAUCCUCUGCUGCGGUUCCGAUGAGAACAACAGGGGCCAGGGCACAGGGUGAUGACAGGUCACUUGGAGCUCAGAGCCUCAGACCCAGUAGGGGCUUUGUGUCUGACCUGCUGUGCUCCCCCAUCAAUUUGAGGCCUUUUGACCAAAUCAGAUUCUCCUUGACCCACUGCAACUAUUUGAGCUUUGUCUAGGUCUAGAAUGAUCGUGGCAGCAUUGCCAUUCAGUAUGCCUUAAGACUGGCCUGGCUGCUGCAGUGGAACGGCAGGGCCAUUUAAAUAACGGUACGUCUAUGUCUACAAACAAAGUCUGUUGUGAUGCCUCACAUCACGAUCCCCUCUCCUCAUCAGUGCGGUCAGUGGGUUAGAGAUGAUGGAAGGACGGUGCAUUAGUAGAGUUAGUCUAGAGAGACACUUACACUGGGAGGGAAGAGGUAGGGCCUGGUCUAAUAAAGAGACACUUACACUGGGAGGGAAGAGGUAGGGCCUGGUCUAAUAAAGAGACACUGGGGGGGAAGAGGUAGGGCCUGGUCUAAUGAAGAGACACUUACACUGCGAGGGAAGAGGUAGGGCCUGGUCUAAUAAAGAGAC